rnacentral:rRNA from 1 species
UACGGGGGGGGCAAGCGUUGUUCGGAAUUACUGGGCGUAAAGGGCUCGUAGGCGGCCAACUAAGUCAGACGUGAAAUCCCUCGGCUUAACCGGGGAACUGCGUCUGACACUGGAUGGCUUGAGAUUGGGAGAGGGAUGCGGAAUUCCAGGUGUAGCGGUGAAAUGCGUAGAUAUCUGGAGGAACACCGGUGGCGAAGGCGGCAUCCUGGACCAACACUGACGCUGAGGAGCGAAAGCCAGGGGAGCAAACGGG